ACAUGUCCUUAACCUUGGCACAACAAAUCUCUAAAUCGAUUGAGACCUGUCUCAGAUACUUCUUGGUUUACAAGAUGGAGGCUGAAAUUAAAGAGAAAGAUCCUCACUCAACUCACAGAGGAGCAGAAUGGGAAGAGGACUUAGUGAGAAUUCCCUGAACACAGGAGAAAACCGAAGCCCAGAGAGUGGAUGGCCAAGUCCAAGGUCACACAGCCAAGUGCAUCCGAGCAGCGCAGGAUCCAGGUUUCCUGCCCCAGUGCUCUUUCUGCAGCCCAUGCCACCUGUUUUCAUGCUAUCUCAGUUCACCUUCCAGCUACACACCUGCAAUCAGAAACAGAAAGUCUGAGAGUGUGUGUGGAGCCAAAGAGGGGACAGCAGUGGUGAGGCCAGUUUCAUGUCUUGUGAUUUAUUUUCUCCCUUUCUUUUUGGACUUUAAUCUUAAGUGGACAGCAAUUUGGAACAGUGUCAGCACCUUGUUGGAUUGUGCUGUUUGGGAGAGGUGACACAGAGUAUUUUAAAAGAGCAGGUUAAGAACUUUUCACAAGGAAUCAAUUGAGAGAAAAUAAAAUAGAAACAGACUGUCCCACAUUUGGGCUGAGCACCAAACACAUUUUUUUUUUUUUUUUUGAGACUGAGUCUUGCUCUGUCACUCAGGCUGGAAUGCAGUGGCGCGAUCUCGGCUCACUGCAGCCUUCACCUCCCGGGUUCAAGUGAUUCUUCUGCCUCAGCCUCCCAAGUAGCUGGGAUUACAGGUGCCCACCACCAUGCCAGGCUAAUUUUUGUAUUUUUAGUAGAGACGAGGUUUCACCAUGUUGGCCAGGCUGGUCUUGAACUCCUGACCAAGUGAUCCACCUGCUUCGGCCUCCCAAAGUGCUGGGAUUACAGGCACGAGCCACCGCACCUGGCCUCAAACAAGCUUUUUAAUUGCAUUCAGAAGUGCACCAACUAGGCACAGACCUCUGGCAUGGAGACAGAAUGGGAGGUUCUUGGUGUCUGGCCUGGUCUUGCAGAAAUCAGGGAGUUGUGGGGACCAGGCAGCCACUGUGCAUCAGAUAGGAGUUUCAGCAGCAGGCAACAGAAAGCCUGCCAAUGUAGCUGAAAUAAGAAGGGCUUAUUUUUAUCCCUGAACAGAAGCUUCCAGCACUGGUUCAUCAGAUCAGGGCACUGAGCUGGCAUCCCCAUUUAUACAGUUUUCCUUUCCUUCACCUUUGUAAGAUGCCUGGCACAGCUCUGAGCAUCAAAUAUCUGUGCCAUGUGGGAGCACACGAGGGGACAAGUGGGGAAUAGGGUCUCCUCUGUCCUCUGUCCCCAGGCUGGCUUCUCUCGUGGUAGAAGGACCCCCACAGCACCAGGCCUCAUAACUACCCUGCUGGUAAACUGCAGGUGCUGUCACGGCUUCCUGCCUUCGUAUAUGAAAUGUUCCUUGGCAGCUGGACUGCUGUUUGUUUACCGCACGCACAGCUCUGCUGCCUCUUGGUUACACCAGUGAGCUAUUGCUCCAUGACAAGCCACACCGAAAUGUAGCAAGCACUUAUUGUUGCCCACAUGUGUCAAGUCAGUUGAGUGUUUCUGCCAACCGGGGCCUGGCUUGGCCCACCUUGGCUGAGCUUGCUCUGGUGCUAGGGUCAGCUAGACAGGUCGGCAGGAGACCAGCUGCUCUAGAAGAGCCUGGACAGGAUGAAUUGGUUCUCCUUCCACGUGCAUCUUGCAUCCCUCCAGCCAAGGAUUUGAACCCAGGUCUCGUCUGACUCCAAAUGCACCAAGAGGAUGGAGCCCAGAGUGACACAGAGGAAGAGGCCCCUGGAUGGAUGCAUGGGGAAGGUUAGAAGCAAGGCACAAGUCAUACCUACAUUCAAGGAGAGGGGACCAUGCAAAGGAUAAACUGCAGAGAGACAACAGAUUUACAUCCCAGACACAUUCACACUGGGCCAAGAGCAGCUGCCAUUGCAGAUUCGAGUCACGUCCUUUUUUCCUUCCUUCUCCUUCUUGGAGUUACAACAGAAGCUGGGGAGGUGAGAGUGCAGAAAGGACGUGGAUGAAGCAGAGAGGCACGUGCCUGUCUCAUUCGCCUCUGGAUCUGCUGCAUCCAGGACUGUGCCAGCACAAAGUGGGAGCCCGAUAAAUAUUUAUUGAAGAAAUGAAAGGUGACAAAAGGCAGAAGGAGGGAGACCCCAAAAAGAGUAUGAACCCAGCAUCACAGUGCACUUGUGGCAGAUGGCAGUGCAUACCCGGGAGCUACUCUCCUCCGGCCAGAUGCCCUUCUCCCAGCUGCCCGCCGUGUGGCAGCUCUACCCCGGGAGGAAGUACCGAGCAGCGGAUUCCAGUUUCUGGGAAAUAGCAGACCAUGGCCAGAUUGACUCUAUGGAGCAGCUGGUCCUAACAUAUCAGCCGGAGAGGAAAGACUGACACUGGGAGUGGCUGGCCCUGCUGGCCCUGCCUCUUCUGGCCUGGUGUCUCCUCAUGCCCCCUCAGUGAGGAUCUUCAUGUACCUGCUCUUCUGUUUGCACACCCAGCAUAGCCUCCUUGCAGGCAGAAGGCAGUAGGGCCCCUGCACACUCAGUUUCUCUCGUUUUCCUUAGUUAUCAGUCCUGUCCUGUCCCACUCAGGUCUGUACUUAGGGCAGCUGGCCUGGAUGGGCUUCACUGGGGCCCUGUCUGUGUGCUGAGCCAGUUUCCCCUGCUGGCUGCAAGCUGUGGGUUCUUUCUCCUCUGUGCCCCUCAUGCUGAUCUUCUAGAUGCCACUCCCAAAUCCCCUUCAUACCCACCAGGAUGUGUGCCCAGCCAGGCCUCCAGCACCCCCAGUGCAGCUCGUGAUUGGAAACUCACCAUCGGCAGGCAGUGGUUCGGUUUAAGAGAUGGCAUUAGAGGGAGCCCAGUCUGGAUGUGGACUUGGAUGCCCUGUGGGUAUCAGUUCUGCUGACACUUUGGCCCGAAAUAGAUCCAGUGCUGAGCAAGCAAUGUACACCAGAGCCUCAGUGAGCCCAUCUGCACAGUGGGGAGCAUGGAGGGAUGGGUUUGGCCUGUGCUUCUGCUUAUUCAGUCCUUCAGCUCACGGAAGGGAUGCUAGUCCGUGAAGGUGACCUCACAGUACUGGUUAAUUAAACUUUAUUGCUCACUGUC
rnacentral:lncRNA from 10 species